AUUGAACGCUGGCGGCAGGCCUAACACAUGCACGUCGAACGAGUGGCGGACGUGUGAGCAAUGUCUGGGAAACUUCCUGAUGGAGGGGGACAACUACCGGACACGGUAGCGAUUACCGUAUACCAUAAGAUGUGCCCAGAUGGGAGUAGCUUGUUGUGGGGGUAACGGCUAACAAAGGCGACAAUCCCUAGCUGGUAUGAGAGGAUGACCAGCAACACUGGAACUGAGACACGGUCCAGACUCCUACGGUAGGCAGCAGUGGGAAAUAUUGCACAAUGGGCGCAAGCCUGAUGCAGCCAUGCCGCGUGUGUGAAGAAGGGCUUCGGGUUGUAAAGUACUUUCAGCGGGGAGGCGUUACCCGCAGAAGAAGCACCGGCUAACUCCGUGCCAGCAGCCGCGGUAAUUC
rnacentral:rRNA from 1 species